CGUAACAAGGUCUCCGUAGGUGAACCUGCGNNNNGAUCAUUACACAAAUAUGAAGGCGGGCUGGAACCUCUCGGGGUUACAGCCUUGCUGAAUUAUUCACCCUUGUCUUUUGCGUACUUCUUGUUUCCUUGGUGGGUUCGCCCACCACUAGGACAAACAUAAACCUUUUGUAAUUGCAAUCAGCGUCAGUAACAAAUUAAUAAUUACAACUUUCAACAACGGAUCUCUUGGUUCUGGCAUCGAUGAAGAACGCAGCGAAAUGCGAUAAGUAGUGUGAAUUGCAGAAUUCAGUGAAUCAUCGAAUCUUUGAACGCACAUUGCGCCCUUUGGUAUUCCAAAGGGCAUGCCUGUUCGAGCGUCAUUUGUACCCUCAAGCUUUGCUUGGUGUUGGGCGUCUUGUCUCUAGCUUUGCUGGAGACUCGCCUUAAAGUAAUUGGCAGCCGGCCUACUGGUUUCGGAGCGCAGCACAAGUCGCACUCUCUAUCAGCGAAGGUCUAGCAUCCAUUAAGCCUUUUUUUCAACUUUUGACCUCGGAUCAGGUAGGGAUACCCGCUGAACUUAAGCAUAUCA
rnacentral:rRNA from 1 species